AGUCGAACGGCAGCACGGGCUUCGGCCUGGUGGCGAGUGGCGAACGGGUGAGUAAUACAUCGGAACGUGCCCUGUAGUGGGGGAUAACUAGUCGAAAGAUUAGCUAAUACCGCAUACGACCUGAGGGUGAAAGCGGGGGACCGCAAGGCCUCGCGCUACAGGAGCGGCCGAUGUCUGAUUAGCUAGUUGGUGGGGUAAGAGCCUACCAAGGCGACGAUCAGUAGCUGGUCUGAGAGGACGAUCAGCCACACUGGGACUGAGACACGGCCCAGACUCCUACGGGAGGCAGCAGUGGGGAAUUUUGGACAAUGGGGGCAACCCUGAUCCAGCAAUGCCGCGUGUGUGAAGAAGGCCUUCGGGUUGUAAAGCACUUUUGUCCGGAAAGAAAUGGCCUGGGUGAAUACCCCGGGUCGAUGACGGUACCGGAAGAAUAAGCACCGGCUAACUACGUGCCAGCAGCCGCGGUAAUACGUAGGGUGCGAGCGUUAAUCGGAAUUACUGGGCGUAAAGCGUGCGCAGGCGGUUUUGUAAGACAGGCGUGAAAUCCCCGAGCUUAACUUGGGAAUGGCGCUUGUGACUGCAAGGCUAGAGUAUGUCAGAGGGGGGUAGAAUUCCACGUGUAGCAGUGAAAUGCGUAGAGAUGUGGAGGAAUACCGAUGGCGAAGGCAGCCCCCUGGGACGUCACUGACGCUCAUGCACGAAAGCGUGGGGAGCAAACAGGAUUAGAUACCCUGGUAGUCCACGCCCUAAACGAUGUCAACUAGUUGUUGGGGAUUCAUUUCUUCAGUAACGUAGCUAACUCGUGAAGUUGACCGCCUGGGGAGUACGGUCGCAAGAUUAAAACUCAAAGGAAUUGACGGGGACCCGCACAAGCGGUGGAUGAUGUGGAUUAAUUC
rnacentral:rRNA from 1 species